AUUGAACGCUGGCGGCAUGCUUUACACAUGCAAGUCGAACGGUAACAGGUUAAGCUGACGAGUGGCGAACGGGUGAGUAAUGCAUCGGAACGUGCCCGGUCGUGGGGGAUAACGCAGCGAAAGCUGCGCUAAUACCGCAUACGAUCUGAGGAUGAAAGCGGGGGACCGUAAGGCCUCGCGCGAUCGGAGCGGCCGAUGUCAGAUUAGGUAGUUGGUGGGGUAAAGGCUCACCAAGCCGACGAUCUGUAGCUGGUCUGAGAGGACGACCAGCCACACUGGGACUGAGACACGGCCCAGACUCCUACGGGAGGCAGCAGUGGGGAAUUUUGGACAAUGGGCGCAAGCCUGAUCCAGCAAUGCCGCGUGCAGG
rnacentral:rRNA from 1 species